AUCUUUUAGACAAGUAUAAAAAGUGAACUCUGCUCCAUGCUUUAGUAAAUAGCCGCAGUAUCUUGACUGUGCAAAGGUAGCAUAAUAAUUAGUCUUGUAAUUCAAGACCGGAAUGAAAGAGCCCACCAGAAAAGCUUUUUCUUAGCUGUUGCAUCCAACUUUACCUUUUAGUAAAAAGGCUAAAAUGCCCCUCAAAGACAAGAAGACCCUGUAAAACUUUACAUAAAAAAGUUUGAUAAACUUCUAAUAUGUUUAACUGGGGCGGUGGAAAACUAAACAAUUUCAAAUCUUUAAAAGUCUUCUUCUUAUACCCAAAAUUUUUGAAGCUCAAACAAGUUACUUCAGGGAUAACAGCGUUAUAUACUUAGAAAGCCCUUAUUGACAAGUAUGAUUGCGACCUCGAUGUUGGAUUAAGUCUCCCUCGCCCCGCAAGAGGGGCGGAGGGAGGUCUGUUCGACCUUUAAACUCUUCCA
rnacentral:rRNA from 1 species